rnacentral:rRNA from 1 species
CAGCCGCCGCGGUAAUACGAAGGGUGCAAGCGUUACUCGGAAUUACUGGGCGUAAAGCGUGCGUAGGUGGUGGUUUAAGUCCGUUGUGAAAGCCCUGGGCUCAACCUGGGAAUUGCAGUGGAUACUGGGUCACUAGAGUAUGGUAGAGGAUAGUGGAAUUUCCGGUGUAGCAGUGAAAUGCGUAGAGAUCGGAAGGAACAUCUGUGGCGAAGGCGACUAUCUGGGCCAACACUGACACUGAGGCACGAAAGCGUGGGGAGCAAACAGGAUUAGAUACCCCCGUAGUCCCUGUCUCUUAUAC